UGUUUCCGUUUUAAACUGUUGACGUACAUCCUUCUAUAGUUUCCGUUUAAAACUAAUUGUAACUUUACUUACUUUCAGUAGUCGCAAUAUCAUCACUCCAUUAACUCUUUGAUUGAAGAUGGGAUUGAAACUGAGGACAAGUGUUACCAUAGUUUGUAUCGUCUUGAUAUUAGUAGGAAGAACAUCUGCUGUUUUCUGCACAAAGCAAUGUAUUACGACUGCCUUUGGAUGUUUUAAUAGAUGUGAUGUCAAUUAUUAUCGUAGCGGUAGAGGGUAUGAUGAGUACAGAAGAUGUGUGAAUACCUGUCGAGUGAGUUGUUAUGAGUGUUCGCUAGAAUGCAGUGACUCUACCUACUCGUGCAAAGAUUACUUUAAUCUUAAUUGAAACAGUAAUUUCUAUUGUUAAGAAUUAUUUCUUUGAUACAUUUGUAUAUCUGGACUCUGACUAUACUAGUUUUAUCAAGCUUGUCUUCAUAGGCGCAUAAUAAAGAUUUUGAUAUUAAAUUAAUUAAUAGGAUAUUUAGAUAAUAAUAAAUACUUUUAUGUACUUUUG